GAGUUGUAGCCUCGUGCACGGGAAUAAUGCCCCCCCGCCA
rnacentral:tRNA from 1 species